GGGGCAGCUGCGGGGGCUGCAGCCAGGCCACUGAAACAGGGUUACGGCGUCCAGCCAGGCUAUGGAGCAGGAGCGGCACUCGGGCUACCUCAGGCCAGGAAACAGAAAGCAGGUUAUGGCGGCAAUGGAUAUGCUUAUGGGGCUCAGCCACUCGGAGGAUACGGACCUGGGGCAGGAGCCUAUCUGGGGGCGGGGCUUGGGGCAGGGUUUGGGAAUGGAGCAGCUGGGUUCGCUGGGCUGGG